rnacentral:misc_RNA from 1 species
CGCUGAAACGAGUACCUGCACCAGCGGCAAUAAUAAGGGACUCUCGGGAGGGUGCCGCACAGCCACCACCGCCCCCCACCACCCCACCCCACACACAUAUUCAUAUCUCCAUUCCUGCGACGCACCUUUUCCUCCUUCCCAGCAGCCCUUUCUGUGCUGUACUCUAUGAGUUGGUGCUCGCAUCUCCGACUGCGCAGGUUACCCCAGUAGCGCGUGAGGAGACUCCCUUGUUCUGACGCUUCGCUCCGUGGUUGCCCUCCCUCUCUUCUCCUCAUUUCGCUAGCCUGCAUCUCUGAAUAAGCGGGGGCGCUUCACGGACGGCAGGAGCGGCCGGACGCAAACUCAAGAGCAGGCAGGACCAGCAUCGCUUGCUCGUAUUAUCGUCAGAAAUCAUGCAGGAGUCGAACACACUCAUCUUCGACGUGCCGGACGCGUUUCAGGUGGAGUCGAUCAUCGGCCAGGGGGCGUACGGUGCGGUCUGCAAGGCUGUCUUCUGCGAUGACCAGAUCGCCGUGAAGAAGAUCCCGCACUACUCGCGCAGCGAGGACACGGCGCGCCGGGUGCUUCGCGAGAUCGAAAUACUGCAAAACCUUCAGUUCUGCGAGCAGGUAGUAGGCUGCCGCCUCUUCUUCCGACCCAAGAGCGAGGAGAAAGACGUGUACGUGGCAAUGGACUACAUCCCAGCCGACCUUUCUUCUGUAAUCAAGAACGGCGCCAUCACGCUUGACGAGAGCGUCGUGCGGUACAUAACGUGCCAGCUGCUGCUGGCACUGCGCGCACUGCACCGCUGCAAGGUACUGCACCGUGACGUGAGCACCCGCAACAUUCUGAUCCACUACAACUCACAGGUGUUCCUGUGCGACUUCGGGCUCAGUCGCUUCUUCGACCCGGAUGAGCAGCUCAGCUUCGGGGUCGUGACGCAGUGGUACCGCGCACCGGAGAUCAUCCUCGACGCGGCCUACAGUUACGCGAGCGAUGUGUGGAGUGUUGGGGUCAUCCUCGGUGAGCUGCUGCUGCGCCGCCACCUGUUCCCUGGAAAGUCAAACGACUCUGCGAAUCAGCUGCAGCUCAUCUUUCACCUGGUCGGCACGCCCUCCAAGGAUGUCUUUGACGCGGAUCGCUCCUUCGGCCGCGCCAGCCAGAACGCCAAGAACUACGCGCUAGCUUACAUCGAACGCCGCCCGUGCCCGUCCACGCUAGUGAAUCUUUUGUCCACCGCGCCGGUGCUGCACCACUCGGCCAUCGCCGCAGUGCCGCCGCAGGCAGUGCAGCUUGCCGAGCAGCUCCUGCAGUUCGACCCGGCCAAGCGACCGAGCGCCGACGAGGCCCUGCGACAUCCGUGGUUUGACCCGUGCCGCGCCUUCAUUGAUGAGGUGGUGCAGCACCAGGACGAGGAAGAGAUCCCGGUGUUUACGCAGACGCAGAACAUGAACGUCGAGGAGCUGGUGAAGCGCAUCGAGGAGGUGGUGCCGGUCUUCUCUGAGGAUCUGCUCGUGGAGGACGACGGCGGCGGUGCCGCGGGCAGUGCGUAGGCAGGCAUCCAGCUUUCUCGACGCCCCCUACGUGCGUGUGGCGGGCCGAAGAGAGGUGGCGUGACGCCUGCAGCAGGCAAACCGUCGCAGGGGUGAUGUUGGUGUGGCCCCUAGUCGAACAAGACGACGGAGCCGGGCGAUGCGAGAGAGAACAACGAUGCACAAGAGGGAAAAGAAAGCAAGAGAGGCGCGGGACGAGCCGCGGCGUGGCUGAGUGUGGCGGCGAUCGUGGCCGGCGGGGCGGCAGCCCACCCGUGCAGACGGGAAAACGGCGGGUCGAAGCAGAAGUACAAGAGAGGGAGCAAAGAGAUGGCGCUUCGAACCAAACGACAGGGGAACAGCCGGAGAGGAGGAGGGGGAGGCUUCCAUCGCACGCAUCUUCUUUCCCUUGACCCUUCACCAAGCACCAUCAUCACGCGCAUGGUAAUGGUGAUGAUGGCGGCCGCGGAUGGCGCGUUGCCCUUGUACGCUGAGCUCUCUUUGUUGGCAUCGGUUCCGUCAUUCUCUGUCUUGUGUGUGCGUGCGUGCGUGUGUGUGUGUAUGUAUGGUGGUGCCCUCGACUUUUUUUUGCUCACGAAUGUUCAGCC